CCUCUCUUCUCUCCUCGUUUGCGGCUCGUUAGCAGACGGCCAGGUGUAUGCAGCUCACACCUGUGGCUCAGCAGCAUUUCUUCCCUCCGCCUCGGGCUCCUUUACGCCGGGACCGUGGCGAGUUUGAAAGCGUCUUUCGUGCGGGAGUCUCACUCAGGGACCAAAGAGGCGACCGAGAAAAGCCUCUAAGGAAAAGUUGAGGGGUUUCCUGCUUUACAGACACUUCCUGAUGGUCAGAUCAUGGGAUGAGGAGAACUCACUUGGAAAGAGGAAGCUGUGAUUGAAAAUAAAUGAGGCUGUAUGAUCCAUGCAGAAAAGGAACUACAGUUGGAGAAGAGAAGAGAAGAGAAGAGAAGAGAAGAGAAGAGAAGAGAAGAGAAGAGAAGAGAAGAGAAGAGAAGAGAAGAGAAGAGAAGAGAAGAGAAGAGAAGAGAAGAGAAGAGAAGAGAAGAGAAGAGAAGAGAAGAGAAGAGAAGAGAAGAGAAGAGAGAGGAGUGCCACAGAAAAUCCUAGAUAGCAGCAUGUCAUGGAGACGAGACGAGAUGUGACACUAAACACAGGGCUGGAUUUGUGCAGAGCUAUUGGAAAGCAGUUGAGAGGA